UCAACUUCGUUCCAUUUGUUUCUCAUUUGAAACCUUCACAACUCUUAUUUCACAACUCAAUUUUUGUUUUUCACUAUUUUUCUUCCAAGAAAGCAUUCAUUUUUCAUUUUCUCUAUUUUUUUCUUUUCUUUUCACAUCGUAUUCACAAAACAGGUGUUUCUCUUUUCUAAUUUUUUUUUCAAUGCUUGCUCGGUUUUUCAAGAGUUGUGGCACUUACCGAUUCUCAUUUUCGUUCUCCCCAACUUAUC
rnacentral:lncRNA from 1 species